rnacentral:rRNA from 1 species
CGAGGACGAACGCUGGCGGCGUGCCUAACACAUGCAAGUCGAGCGGGACAUUAACAGAACGGAAGUUUCGGACGGAAGGGAAGAUAAGUGUUCUAGCGGCGGACGGGUGAGUAACGCGUGAGCAACCUGUCCUUCACAGGGGGAUAACACAGCGAAAGUUGUACUAAUACCGCAUAAGACCACGGUACCGCAUGGUGCAGGGGUCAAAGGAGAAAUCCGGUGAAGGGUGGGCUCGCGUCCGAUUAGAUAGUUGGUGAGGUAACGGCCCACCAAGUCAACGAUCGGUAGCCGACCUGAGAGGGUGAUCGGCCACAUUGGGACUGAGACACGGCCCAAACUCCUACGGGAGGCAGCAGUGGGGAAUAUUGGGCAAUGGGGGAAACCCUGACCCAGCAACGCCGCGUGAGGGAAGAAGGUUUUCGGAUCGUAAACCUCUGUCCUAGGUGAAGAGGAAGAGACGGUAGCCUAGGAGGAAGCCCCGGCUAACUACGUGCCAGCCGCUGC